GCCGCGAUAGCUCAGGUAGCUAGAGCACAGCUCUGAAAAAGCUGGGGUGAUCAGUGCAAGUCUGAUUCGCGGCA
rnacentral:tRNA from 1 species